GACGAACGCUGGCGGCGUGCUUAACACAUGCAAGUCGAGCGGUAAGGCCCUUUCGGGGGUACGACGAGCGGCGAACGGGUGAGUAACACGUGGGUGACCUGCCUUUAGCUCUGGGAUAAGCCUGGGAAACUGGGUCUAAUACCGGAUAUGACUCCGCGGUGCAUGCUGUGGGGUGGAAAGCCUUGUGCGGCUGGAGAUGGGCCCGCGGCCUAUCAGCUUGUUGGUGGGGUGAUGGCCUACCAAGGCGACGACGGGUAGCCGCCUGAGAGGGCGACCGGCCACACUGGGACUGAGACACGGCCCAGACUCCUACGGGAGGCAGCAGUGGGGAAUCUUGCGCAAUGGGCGAAAGCCUGACGCAGCGACGCCGCGUGAGGGAUGACGGCCU
rnacentral:rRNA from 1 species